UGGAAACUCCAACACACACAUUUUAUUUUGAAAACUUCUGACACAGUGAGAAUUAGGUUUCAAGUAUGCAGCAUCUCACAACGUCCAACUGCCUAACAGUCAUGCCUCUGUGUAAUUCCUGACUCGCUUCUAACCAGUGGUCUAUGGCAAGGUGAUGGAUGUCACUCCUAUGAUUAUACUGUUUUAGGUAAGACUGUCUUGCCAGCUGACUGGGCCAGAUCUUCCCCUUGCUGGCUUAAUGAAUUCAGCACACAUGCUGAGGGAGCCCAUGAGGCAAGGAACUAGGGGAGACCCCUCAUUGCCAAGGACAGACUUUAACCAACUGCCUGCAAGAAACCGAAGCCCUCAGUUCUACAACUAUAAGGACAUGAAUUCUACCAACAACCCGAAUGAGUUUUGGAAGCUGAUUCUCCCCUAGUUGAGCAUGCAGAUGAGAAAACACUCUGGCUGCCACUUUGACUGCAGCUUUAUGACUAAAAGCAGAGGACCUAGUUAGCCUGUGUCCUGACUCCUGACCCAAAGGCUUUGGAGAUAAUGAAAGUAUUAUUUUACACACUCCAUCUGUGAUAAUCUGUAAUGCACUAGGGGACCCUAGGUAACCCUUAAGCUUCUAUUCAGCUCACCUUAGGUUUUUUUUUUCUUUUCUUCUUCUUCUUUUUUAGGGCCACGCCUGAAGCAUGUGGAAAUUUCCAGGCUAGGGGUUGAAUCAGAGCUGCAGCUGCCCACCUACACCACAGCCAUAGCAACGCAGGAUCCGAGCCGCAUCUUUGACCUACACCACAGGUCACAGGAAUCUUAACCCACAGAGCAAGGCCAGGGAUCAAACCCGUGUUCUCAAGGAUACUAGUUGGGUUCAAUACCACUGAGCCACAAUGGGAACUCCAGCUCACUUCCUUUUUUGUUUCAUAGGCUUUACUUACACAAUCUCAUUUGGGGUCAAGAACAUGAAGGUAAAAGAGAAUCAGAAAGUCUACUCCAUGUCCACCAUGGCAACUAGUUUAUCACCUUCUCCCUGGGACUAGGCAACAAGUCAUUUCACAGGGUUAUUAGGAGCAUGAAAAGUCACAGAGAGAUGAAAGAACUUAAGAGUCACAAAAUGGUGAGCUCUACUCCAAUAGAUAUUCCACUAGGUCCAGAGAAUAAUACAUUUAAAUAAAUCUAGAAUUAAAAGCCAGAGCUGAAAAACGACUAGCAAACCAGCUAUCAGAACUCAGGGGUCUACAUUCUCGUAAAUGAAAAAAUAUAAUUACAAAGUGGUCUCAUGUUUUUGUAAUGAGCAAAAUUAAAAGUAAUAUGUAAUUGUAGCAAGGUCGAUGCGUGAAGCUUUUUCAAAUUAAGAUAGCUAGUCACAGCUGCUUAGAGUGAAUAUGGAAAAACCUAUGUCUAGACAAAACGAGUUUAUCUGCAGGAAGGGAAACCACAUUUAAGACAGCUAUGUGUCAUAUUUUAAUGCUUUUCCCUCUGGAAACAUUUUAAUUUUCAUUUUGAAAGGUUAUAGAAAAUUCUAAAGUUUCUGAGUUGGAGACAUAAAAAAAAAAUGCAAGAAUAACUCCUCUUUAGUUUUUGGAAGGGAAGCAAUCGCUAAUCCAUGAAAGGGACAAUUUGAUAAAAAUAACUUGCAUUAAAAUAAAACCUUUCAAAGGAUAAUGUAAAUUAUUUUCUUAAGACACAUAUCUUCUAUUUGGUGAGGAGGGUAGAUUUCUCAAACAAACAAAACAACAACAACAACAACAACAACAAAAAACCCCAAACCGGAGUUCCCGUCGUGGCGCAGUGGUUAACGAAUCCGACUAGGAACCAUGAGGUUGCGGGUUCGGUCCCUGCCCUUAAAGAUCCGGCGUUGCCGUGAGCUGUGGUGUAGGUUGCAGACGCGGCUCGGAUCCCGCGUUGCUGUGGCUCUGGCGUAGGCCGGUGGCUACAGCUACGAUUCGACCCCUAGCCUGGGAACCUCCAUAUGCCGCGGGAGCGGCCCAAGAAAUAGCAACAACAACAACAACAACAACAACAACAACAAAAAACCCAAACCCACAGUUUAAUUGGGUUCACUAGUAAAGAACUAGUCUUCAUUUUUUUUUUUUGCCCUUUUUUUUAGGGCCACACUUUCUUCAUUAAUAGAAUAAUGUGUUUAAUUAAAGCAGUUUGAAAAGAAUUGUCUUAAUUUUCCAAAAUCAGUUUAAAGGCCAUAGCUUGCUCAGUUUUCCCGUUAAUGCCAAAACUCAAAAAGGCUCAGUUCUUGGCUGCCCUCUCUACACUCACUCCCUGUAAGAUCUUGUGGUCUUAAAUUCCAUCUAUCGUAUCGGAGUUCCCGUUGUGGCUCAGUGGUUAAUGAAUCCAACUAGGAACCAUGAGGUUAAGGAUCCGGCGUUGCCAUGAGCUGUGGUUUAGGUUGCAGAUGUGGCUCGGAUCCCGAGUUGCUGUGGUAUAGGCUGGUAGCUAUAGCUCUGAUUAGACCCCUAGCCUGGGAACCUCCAUAUGCCACGGGGGCGGCCCCAGAAAAGGCAAAAAGACAAAAAAAAAAAAAAAAAAUUCCAUCUAUGUACCAUUUUUCCAGCCCUAAGAAGCUUCAAAUUGCCUACUGAACAUGUACCUAUUUAUAUAAACGUAUCUACUUGGGUCUCAGAUUUAGCAAGACUAACACACAACACUAGAUCCCACCGUGAUCCUGCUCCUCCUGCCUCCCCAGGAGUUACACUUGACUUGCUCCCCUACUCCCCAGACACAUGCAAUUCAUUCAGUCCUCUCAGCUCUACCUGUGAAAUACAUCCCCGAUACUUCACCCUACAGUGUGGUCUGACCUGCACCUGCUUUUGCUUCCACGAGAGCAACAGCUUCCAACCUAGUCCCCUGGCUUUCUCUCUUGGCCUCCUCCCAAAGACAAUUCUCAGCACAGUGGAGAAAGUCAUCCAUGAACACAAAUCAGAUCUAAUCACUCCUCUGGCACCCCAUCAAACUCAAAAUAAAAUGUUUGUUUCCAGAAGCUACGAAGCAUUUGACAUUGUUUUAUGUCACAGGUACUUGUUUAUCACUGUUCACUCCUCCAGAGUAUAAGUUGUAUGGGGAAGGGACCUGGUCUCAUUUAUACCCCAGUGACUACAGCAGUGCUCAGCACAUUACACUCUCCGUAAACACGCAGUGAAUGAAUUAAUACGGUUUGCUAUAACAGUACAGACUUUGAUUCUGAUGGCCAUUGAGGCCCUUACCUGGCAGCAAUAAAACUUUGAAACAAGUGCUUGAUUUUCUAUCAACAUAAUUUCUUUCUAGUAACUUAAGCCUUCAAAUGUGAGCUGUUACUUUACCUUUGGUAGUUACUUUGGGUGAUUAUUCUUUUCUUUCAAACAUGUAAACUAUACUUGAAUAAUACUUUGAAUAAGGACAAGCAUGUUUUGUGCUUUAUGACUGCCCCACUGUUGUAGCUCUCAAUACAAGGAAACAGCCUUUGCUGUGACAGCUGACACCAACGGGUGGAGCAAAAAACACUUGCGAAAGCAACAAGAGAAACGAAAGAGCAGGAUACGUGCCAUGAUGGCAAAUACGUUUUACGGUUCUAAAAUACACUUGAAGAGAGACACAUGAGAGUGGUAGAGCACAAAGAGUCUCAUCUACCUGGCUGAGGACUCCAAACAAGCAGGCAACUGCAAUCUCUUUGGCUCAUAUUUGCAUUUUACAAAGCUUACUGCAGUAAAGAGUGAGAAUGGCAUGCAGAGGCAACAACCAACUUCAGGUUCAGAGACUAGUUUAGGAGGCCUAGUAAAAUCCAGGAAAAAAACGAAAGAAACAUCUAAAAACCAUGGCUGUUAGGAGGAUGUCCAUUUGGGCUCCAGGCUGGAUCGUGCAGCUACGAGGCUUCCGGUGUCUUCUCUACUCCAAGCCAGCCCAAGUGACUGAGCUUUGGCAAACUUGCCCUGAUUCUCCAGUGGUUUCUUUCUGAAGAGCUUUGGUAUUCCAUUAUUUCUGGAAGUCGUAUUAUUUCUCCUGAGCCAUUUUUCUUUAUUCUUACAACAUCAGUCCGAAAUGAAAUUAGCCAGUUGUUCACGAUGUGGUAUCAACCUUAGGAAAAUUUCACACGUCUGAGCUGGUCCAGUAAUGAUCACGUGAUUCUCUGAUGGUAGAUGCCAUCUCAGGAUGACAGUGGCAGCAGUGGGAGAGGGCAGGGCCGAGGUGAAAUGGUCACAGAUACUCUAACACAUGGCCAUCUUCCCUUUUAAGACAUAUGAAGAUAGCUCUUUCAAAAGUUUCUGGCCUCGGAGUUCCCACCAUGGCACGGUGAGUUAAGAAUCCAACUGCAGCAGCUUGGGUCCCUGCAGAGAUGUGGGUUUGGUCCCCAGCCUGGCACAGUGGGUUAAAGGGUCCAGCGUUGCUGCAGCUGCAAUGUAAGUAGCAGCUUGGUUUGGAUUCAACCCCUAGCCUAGGAACGUCCAUAUGCUGCAGGUGCAGCCAUUAAAAAAAAAGAAGUUUGUGGCCUUUCAUGGACUGCUCAAACUAUUCCUGGAGCCAGGAGGCAGAUGAUAGAUAUAUUACGCCCCAGCUCUUACUGCCAUAUCUUUAAGCAAGCGUCCUUCUUUAAGGGAAAUCAUGGUAAAGAAUUUCAUCGCUUUAGAAC
rnacentral:lncRNA from 1 species